AAGUUAUGGAAUGCUAAAGUGGUAAGGCCAAAAAAAAAAAAAAAUGUUUUAAGAACUGCAUUUAUCCAAAAUAAAGGAGGUAUCAUGUAAACACAGUGAUUGUGUAGUGCAGGAUAUAAAGGAUUUAAGUUAAUCUGGGAGUAUUUACCCAUGUAUGAGGUAAAACAAAACCAAAACCAAAAAAAAUCAAUAAAAAUAAGAUAGUAUUUUUGUAACUGAGCUGAGCAACUUUUAUAAAUAAACAAGAAAACUUUAAUCGUAAUCCUGUAUAAUAUUUACAUUUGUAGAUUAAGUGAUGAAUUGUAUUAAUGUUGAUCAUAUUAAUUUUAGUAAAUAUCCUGAAACAUAUGCAAUACAUUUCGUGUAGGCCAGGCAGGAAGUCCACUUUGGUGUUUGGUGACGCAGCUCUGCCACCUUGAGGUCAUGAUAGUGACAUUGCAACUACAAUUUUGGUGAGACGUGCUCACUGUGCGCACAGUACACACUUUGAAAAUGGUGCUUUUAAUAUGGAAGACAGAGGGCCUUUUAAAAUAUUGAAAUUGCAUGUUUAUUACGUUUCUAUGCCUUAUGAGAUUUCUACCAUCUGAGCAGUGACGGAGCUGAAGACAGACACAUAAUGUGAGCUUACGGUAACCCAGGCGACAUGUCCCGUACGAACACGAGCUAUCUCUCUCAACUUCAGGACGACUCGUGCUGAUAUCUUCUAACAUGACGCAUCGAAUGUUAAAAAAUAAUUUUCUCUGUACCAUGCAAUCAAAUAUAUAGUCGUGCUUGAAUGCGACAGACGGGUGAGCGCUUUUACCUGAGUGACGAGAUGGACGGUCAGCUGAUCACUGUUUGACAAAAGGCUACAGGUCAUCGGCCCCAUUCACUGUAUUGGGAUCCCUCACAGCAAAACUUCCAGGAUGUUCCUGAGAUCACAAAUAUGAGGACUCAAGGAAUGCCACAGAGAAACUACUCAUUACCAACAAGUCCAGUGUCAAAUUCCAAGACAGAGUCUCGGUACGGCCUGGAUCCUCAGCUUCUACCCAGUGUGGUCCAUGUGAUUAAAGAGGACAGGAUCCAGUUGGAGGAGAAAGUGUUUGUUUCAGAAUCCAAAUCUUCAGUUCCCCCUUUCUCCUCAACACAAUGCACCCUGGAGGACAGAGCUGCUGCCCAGUUUAGCCAUAUUAUCUUUUGACUUGAUAGAUUCACAUGAAAAAUAAAUGUGAUGCACCUGGCUUUUGUAUCA
ensembl:lncRNA